GCCGGGCACGGUGGCACACGCCUGUAGUCCCAGCUACUCGGGAGGCUGAGGUGGGAGGAUCGCUUGAGUCCAGGAGUUCUGGGCUGCAGUGCGCUAUGCUGAUCGGGUGUCCGCACUAAGUUCGGCAUCAAUAUGGUGACCUCCCGUGAGCGGGGGACCACCAGGUUGCCUAAGGAGGGGUGAACCAGCCCAGGUCGGAAACGGAGCAGGUCAAAAUCCACCCCCAAGUAAUCCUGCUCACUCUAUGAAAAUUUUGGUCUUAGAUUCUGUCUCUCCUACACUGCCACUGUCAAAUGCU
rnacentral:SRP_RNA from 1 species